UUACGGCCUUCAAUUUUUUUCUAUGUUUAACUUGCACUACUACAACUGUAAUGUGAAAUUUUAGAAAAUUCUAGUGGUCGUUUGACCGUAAUUCAAAUUUGAACUACAUAUACAUGCAACGCAUAACCAUAGCGGUUUCAAAAAUCAUAUUUUUGUACUUGUGUGCGACUUAAUUCCAGCGGCAGGAAAUUAGAAGGAAUUUUCAAACAUAUUUGUCUCAUGACAUGGAAACAUGCAUAUGUAUGCAUGCAGUGACAUGCCAUUUUAAUUCCAAAAAAUAAAAAAAUAUCAAAAACACAUCAAACCUUGCUUGAUGUAAUGUCAUACCACCAAUAUGAUGUGGUAAAAAUUGGCAUGUUUGACGAAAGAUUGGACACACACCCCUCACAAACCAGAGUAACUCACUAGAAGGCUUGUUGUUCCGAGAGGGCACAAUGCAUGUUUGAUAACGAACGGGAGAUAGCUUCUUGUUACGGCCUUCAAUUUUUUUUCUACGUUUAACGUGCACUACUACAACUGCAAUGUGAAAUUUUGGAAAAUUCUAGGGGUCAUUUGACCUUUUAAAGACAUUUAUGUGAUUUUCUAGCAAUUUAGUGACCGUAAUUCAAAUUUGAACUACACCUACAUGCAACGGCUUACCAUCACGGUUUGAAAAAUCAUAUUUGUGUACUUGUGUGCGAGUUAAUUCCAUGUGCAGUUAAUUAGAAGGAAUUUUCAAACAUAUUUGUCUCAUGACAUGGACACAUGCAUAUGUAUGCACGGAGUGACAUGGCAUUUCAAUUCCAACAAAAAUAAAAAAAAUAUCAAAAACACAUGAAACCUUGCUUAAUGUAAUGUCAUGCUACCAAGAUGAUGUGGUAAAAAAAUUGGCAUGUUUGAGGAAAGUUUGGACACACACCCCUCAGAAAGCGGAGCAACUCACAAGAAGGCUCGUGGUUCCGAGAGGGAACAAUGCAUGUUUGAUGACGAACAGAAGAUAGCUUCCUCUUACGUCCAUCAAUUUUUUUCUAUGUUGAACGUGCACUACUACAACUGUGAUGUGAAAUUUUGGAAAAUUAUAGGGUUCUUUUAUCGUUUUAAAGACAUUUAAGUGAUUUUCUAGCCAUUGAAUGACCGUAAUUUAAAUUUGAACUACAUCUACAUGCAACGCCUAACCAUAACGGUUUGAAAAAUCAUAUUUGUGUACUUUUGUGCGAGUUAAUUCCAUGUGUAGUAAAUUAGAACGAAUUUUCAAACAUAUUGGUGUGAGGACAUGGACACAUGAUAUGUAUGCAGGGAGUGACAUGGCAUUUUAAUUCCAAAAAAAUAAAAAAUUGUCAGAAACACAUGAAACGUUGCUUGGUGUAAUGUCAAGCCACCAAGAUGAUGUGGUAAAAAAUAGGCAUGUUUGACGAAAGUUUGGACACACACCCCUCACAACCGGAGCAACUCACUAGAAGGCCCGUGGUUCCGAGAGGGAACAAUGCAUGUUUGAUGACGAGCAGGAGAUAGCUUCGUCUGACGGCCUUCAAUUGUUUUCUACGUUUAACGUGCACUACUACAAAUGUAAUGUGAAAUUUUGGAAAAUUUUAGGGGUUGGUGGACCGUUUAAAGACAUUUAAGUGAUUUUCUAGCCAUUUAAUGAUGAUAAUUCAAAUUUGAACUACAUCUACAUUUAACGCCUGACCAUAACGGUUUGAAAAAUCAUAUUUGUGUACUUGUGUUUGAGUUAAUUCCAUGUGCAGUAAAUUAGAAGGAAUUUCCAAACAUAUUUGUAUCAUGACAUGGACACAUGCAUAUGUAUGCAUGGAGUGACAUGGCAUUUUAAUUCCAAAAAAAAUUAAAAAUAUCAGAAACACAUGAAACCUUGCUUGAUGUAAUGUCAUGCCACCAAUAUGAUGUGGUAGAAAAAUUGGCAUGUUUGACGAAAGUUUGGACACGCACCCCUCACAAACUGAAGCAACUCACUAGAAGGUUCGUGAUUCCGAGAGGGAACAAUGCAUGUUUGAUGACGAACGGGAGAUAGCUUCCUGUUACGACCUUCAAUUUUUUUCUAUGUUUAACGUGCACUAGUACAAUUGUAAUGUGAAAUUUUGGAAAAUUCUAGUGGUCAUUUGACCUUUUAAAGACAUUUAAGUGAUUUUCUAGCCAUUUAACGACCAGAAUUCAAAUUUGAACUAAAUCUACAUGCAAUGCCCAACCAUAACGGUUUGAAAAAUCAUAUUUGUGUACUUUUGUGCGAGUUAAUUCCAUGUGCAGUAAAUUAGAAGGAAUUUUCAAACAUAUUUGUCUCAUGACAUGGACACAUGCAUAUGUAUGGAUGGAGUGACAAGGCAUUUUAAUUCCAAAAAGUUAAAAAAUAUCAAAAACACAUCAAAACCUUGCUUGAUGUAAUGUCAUGCCACCAAAAUGAUGUGGUAAAAAAAUUGGCAUGUUUGACGAAAGUUUGGACACACACCCCUCACAAACCGCAGCAACUCACUAGAAGGCUCAUGGUUCCGAGCGGGAACAAUGCAUGUUUGAUGACGAACGGGAGAUAGCUUCCUCUUACGGCCUUCAAUUUUUUUCUAUGUUUAACUUGCACUACUACAACUGUAAUGUGAAAUUUUAGAAAAUUCUAGUGGUCAUUUGACCGUAAUUCAAAUUUGAACUACAUAUACAUGCAACGCAUAACCAUAGCGGUUUCAAAAAUCAUAUUAUUGUACUUGUGUGCGACUUAAUUCCAGCGGCAGGAAAUUUGAAGGAAUUUUCAUUCAUAUUUGUCUCAUGACAUGGAAACAUGCAUAUGUAUGCAUGCAGUGACAUGCCAUUUUAAUUCCAAAAAAUUAAAAAAUAUCAAAAACACAUCAAACCUUGCUUGAUGUAAUCUCAUACCACCAAUAUGAUGUGGUAAAAAUUGGCAUGUUUGACGAAAGAUUGGACACACACCCCUCACAAACCAGAGUAACUCACUAGAAGGCUUGUUGUUUUGAGAGGGCAGAGUGCAUGUUUGAUGACGAACGGGAGAUAGCUUCUUGUUACGGCCUUCAAUUUUUUUCUACGUUUAACGUGCACUACUACAACUGUAAUGUGAAAUUUUGGAAAAUUCUAGGGGUCAUUUGACCUUUUAAAGACAUUUAUGUGAUUUUCUAGCAAUUUAGUGACCGUAAUUCAAAUUUGAACUACACCUACAUGCAACGGCAUACCAUAACGGUUUGAAAAAUCAUAUUUGUGUACUUGUGUGCGAGUUAAUUCCAUGUGCAGUUAAUUAGAAGGAAUUUUCAAACAUAUUUGUCUCAUGACAUGGACACAUGCAUAUGUAUGCACGGAGUGACAUGGCAUUUCAA
rnacentral:lncRNA from 1 species